rnacentral:ncRNA from 1 species
UAGAACAAUGUAGGUAAGGGAAGUCGGCAAAAUAGAUCCGUAACUUCGGGAAGAGGAUUGGCUCUAAGGGUUGGGUCGGGCUAAGACUUGAAGCCAGUGGACCCGGCCCGGACUGGCCGAGGCCCAUCCGGGUCGAAGCUGGACCCGGGAAGGGGCUGUUGGUGGAUUGGCCCACCUAUGGUCGCGAGGCCAAUUCGGCAGGCAAUGAACAACCAACUUAGAACUGGCAGUGACUAGGGGAAUCCGACUGUUUAAUUAAAACUGCAGGGCGACUUCGACUCGAACAAAGUUACAGGGGUAAUAGACUGUGCUAGCGUCCCGUCUUGGCCCGACUGGUGCCAAUGUGUGUAAGCUAGUGUGCUUUUAAAGUCCACAGUUAUGUAUA